UACGAAGGCAGCGAGCGUUGUUCGGAGUUACUGGGCGUAAAGAGUGCGUAGGCGGUUUUCUAAGUUUGGUGUGAAAUCUCCCGGCUUAACUGGGAGGGUGCGCCGAAGACUGGAAGGCUUGAGUAUGGGAGAGGUAAGCGGAAUUCCUGGUGUAGCGGUGGAAUGCGCAGAUAUCAGGAGGAACACCGAUGGCGAAGGCAGCUCGCUGGGACGGUACUGACGCUGAGGCGCGAAAGCGUGGGGAGCAAACAGG
rnacentral:rRNA from 1 species